GCUUGCGGCCAUUGAGGAGAGGUCACACCCGACCCCAUUCCGAACUCGGAAGUUAAGCUCUCCAUCGCCGAUGAUACUGCUAGGUAGCUAGUGGGAAAGUAGGUCGCCGCAAGCU
rfam:Desulfovibrio salexigens DSM 2638, complete genome.